rnacentral:rRNA from 1 species
GACGAACGCUGGCGGCGUGCUUAACACAUGCAAGUCGAACGUGAUGUUUGUGGAAAUUCUGUCGGGAAUGGAGAUGAAAUGAAAGUGGCGACCGGGUGAGUAACACGUGAGCAACCUACCUUACACAGGGGGAUAGCCGUUAGAAACGACGAGUAAUACCGCAUGAGACCACAGAAUCGCAUGAUAUAGGGGUCAAAGAUGUAUGGGUGUAAGAUGGGCUCGCGUCUGAUUAGCUGGUUGGAAGGGUAAAGGCCUGCCAAGGCGACGAUGAGUAGCCGGUCUGAGAGGAGGAACGGCCACAUUGGAACUGAGACACGGUCCAAUCUCCUACGGGGAGCAGCAGUAGGGAAUAUUGCACGAUGGAGGGAACCCUGAUGCAGCGACGCCGCGUGAGCGAAGAAGGGGUUCGAAUCGUAAAGCCCUGUCCGAUGAGAAGAGAGUGACGGUAUCAUAGGAAGAAGCACCGGCUAAAUACGUG